rnacentral:tRNA from 1 species
GCCGCUAUAGCUCAACGGGUAGAGCAACAGCCCGUCUUCACAUCUUUGCCCGGUCACGGGCCGAACGAGGACGGUUACCACCCUUCAUACCGGUGAAGAUGCGGGUUCGAGUCCCGCCAGCGGCA